rnacentral:rRNA from 1 species
UACGUAGGGUGCAAGCGUUAAUCGGAAUUACUGGGCGUAAAGCGUGCGCAGGCGGUUAUGUAAGACAGGUGUGAAAUCCCCGGGCUUAACCUGGGAACUGCAUUUGUGACUGCAUAGCUAGAGUACGGUAGAGGGGGAUGGAAUUCCGCGUGUAGCAGUGAAAUGCGUAGAUAUGCGGAGGAACACUGAUGGCGAGGCAAUCCCCUGGACCUGUACUGACGCUCAUGCACGAA